UUCUCUCUUCCGUGAAUCGCGUUGCUCGGUGAGAAAGAGAUACAGAGAGAGAUGAGUCCUCGAGCUGCUCAAACAUGCGGAAUCUGCGAGAUAGUCGUGUCCAAGUACAAGUGUCCUUGUUGUCUUGUUCCUUACUGCUCCGUGGGUUGUUUCAAGAAGCACAAAGAGAUUCCAUGUGUUAAACCUUCUUCAACCGACGAAAAGCCUGGUUUGAGUCAUGAUCUGGUACUUGUAGCGACGUCUCCAGCAAAGGAAGUCUCAGUGGAUGUGGUAGAAAAGACAGAAGCCAAGGCUAGUGGUAGUAGCGCUGCGUGUGCAACAAAGGAAGCUCAGGUGGCUGUGGCAAGACCAAUAAAUGUAGAGGAAGCAAAGCAUGCUGUAAAGAAGACACAUCUCGAGGCUACUGUAGCCAGUGAUGCUAGCUUCAGGUGGAAAGACAGAUAACUUUACAUGGGGUGGACAAGACACAGCUCGAGGCUAUUGCUUCUUCUAGUGAAAUCCGAGAAGCUUUAGAAGAUGAAGCCCUACAGAAACUCAUCGCCAGUAUCGAUAGCUCUUCCAACCCUCUCAAGGAACUUGAUGAAGCCAUGGGAGAAGAAGCUUUCCGCAUGCUCAAAGAGAAGAUUCUAUCAAACCUUUCCAAGAAGAAAUGACAGAGAGCAAUGAGAGCGUAGUCAUUAGUCAACAUCCAAACAGAAGUUCCGGAACUAUUCUUGAUUCAUUGUUUUGCGUUACGAAGUUUCAGUCGCAGGAGUGAAAUGUUCAUAUGACUUGUAUAUAUAAUAACCCCACAGAGGAUUACAGAAUACAGAAACUAAAUCUUACAUGUUUGUGGAUUUGCUUGGAGAAAUGAUCCUUUUGUUUUACUCCACAAAUGGAGAUGUAUCUUCUAGUCUUGAAAAUACACAAUGAUACCCUAAACCUAGCGUGU